UACGUAGGGGGCUAGCGUUGUCCGGAUUUAUUGGGCGUAAAGAGCGUGUAGGCGGCCAUGUAGGUCCGGUGUGAAAACUCGAGGCUUAACCUCGAGAUGUCAUCGGAAACCAUUUGGCUAGAGUCCGGAAGAGGAGAGUGGAAUUCCUGGUGUAGCGGUGAAAUGCGCAGAUAUCGGGAGGAACACCUGUGGCGAAGGCGGCCCCCUGGUUGGAUACUGACGCUGAUACGCGAAAGCGUGGGGAGCAAACAGG
rnacentral:rRNA from 1 species